rnacentral:rRNA from 1 species
CUACGGGAUGCACCAGUGGGGAAUAUUGGACAAUGGGGGAAACCCUGAUCCAGCAAUGCCGCGUGUGUGAAGAAGGCCUGCGGGUUGUAAAGCACUUUCGGUUGGGAGGACUGCUUCUAGCACUAAUAUUGUUGGAAGUUGACGUUACCUUCAGAAGAAGCACCGGCUAACUCCGUGCCAGCAGCCGCGGUAAUAGCGGAGGGUGCAAGCGUUAAUCGGAAUUACUGGGCGUAAAGCGCGCGUAGGCGGCUAGAUCAGUAGGGUGUGAAAGCCCCGGGCUUAACCUGGGAACUGCAUCCGAUACUGUCUAGCUUGAGUACAGGAGAGGAGAGUGGAAUUCCACAUGUAGCGGUGAAAUGCGUAGAUAUGUGGAGGAACACCAAUGGCGAAGGCAGCUCUCUGGCCUGAUACUGACGCUGAGGUGCGAAAGCGUGGGGAGCAAACAGGAUUAGAUACCCUUGUAGUC